rnacentral:rRNA from 1 species
UACGUAGGGGGCUAGCGUUGUCCGGAAUCAUUGGGCGUAAAGCGCGUGUAGGCGGCCCGGUAAGUCCGCUGUGAAAGUCCAGGGCUCAACCCUGGGAUGCCGGUGGAUACUGUCGGGCUCGAGUCCGGAAGAGGCGAGUGGAAUUCCUGGUGUAGCGGUGAAAUGCGCAGAUAUCAGGAAGAACACCCGUGGCGAAGGCGGUUCUCUGGGACGGUACUGACGCUGAGACGCGAAAGCGUGGGGAGCGAACAGG